rnacentral:rRNA from 1 species
AUUGGCAGCCAUAUCACCCUGUAGCCUAAGACUGGUUACCCACUGAAGCUAAGCAGGGCUGAGCCUUGUCAGUACCUGGACCUCCUGGGAAAACUAGGUUGCUGCUGGAA